rnacentral:misc_RNA from 1 species
AUUAUUGUGAGUUUCGAGUUUCGAGUACCUUGUUACCAUUCUUGAUUCUAAUAAAUACAUAAUAAUAACUACAAAAUUGUAUGACAUUGUAUGUCAUUAUUUCAAGGAUGAAAUAUAGUCAUUUUACAGUUAAGAGAUAAGAAAUACCUUGACUUUGAUGUCUGCAUAAUCUUAGUUUCCUCUCAGCAAAACCUGAUAAACCCAAAUCCAACAAAAUCUCUUUGAAAUUGUGUUCUUCAAUGAGACACUUGAGAGAACAGUGUGACGGAGAGACUAAUUAGCUUCAGUUCAUCAUCAUGUCAACAACCCAACAGUAUACAUUUCUUUCUUUAAGGAAUCGUUCAACUCUUCAGCUCAGUUCAUCAACUCUUCAGCUUGUAUCAGAAAAGCGAACUAGUUCUUCAGCUAUCUUCACAUCUCUUCACCUCAAACCUUUAGUUCUUCAGCCUGUAUCGGGACAAUGGAACCGGCCAAUUCUUCUGCUGAAAAGAGAAAUGUGAAAAGG